CAAGAGAGACAAAUUAUUUGUGACAGUGUGUGCAGUUUUAUGGAAAAAUGAUAAACUUUUGUGAAAUAGUGUGAAGCGUUUAUGGAAGAGAAUAACUUUUGUGUAAACAAUAAAGAAAAAAGAAAAUGAAAACAGAAAAAAGGCUUGCGUUAUCGCGACAUGUCCUCCGUCUUCAAUGAAUAGUCAAAGAGAGAAGUUCGGCUUCGAAGUCCGCAGACCCACUGUAGCUCCUCAGUCAAUCUUCUCACCAGAAGAAUGUUGACACGAUAAAUCGUGGGAGAAACUCCGGUGAGCCGUGCCGGUAGGGAAGACUUGAAGGCAAAACAAUUGGCUAAGGCUAAGCUAACCUCCUGGGCUUGGAGAUCCUAAAAGUGCAGUCCUCCUGGAAGCUUCGAAUCUUUCGUGUUGCCUUCAAUUAUUUUUAUUUCUCAUCAUCUUAUCUCACCGCCCGCUUUUUGUAUCACCAGAAACUCUGAUCUGCCUCAAUUCGACACUCUUCUGCUUUUGUUUCUGUUCCAGCGUCGCAGAUGAGACGAGGCUUUGUUUGGAUUUCAUGGCGGGUAUUGUUUUUUAUGCUCGUAAUCGUCACCGUGUUAGUGUAUUUUCGCCCAUUAUCCAGACCGAUCGCGAGCACAGUUGGCGACGAGUCGAGCCUGGAGAAUUCGGAGAUUGUAGUUUCUGUCCCCCAAGCAGAUCAUUAUGUAGACGUACCUAGAGCAGGGGCAAGAUCUCUUUUGUAUGCGCUUGAACCUGAAACGGCGUUGGUUAAGCCCGAGACAGAAUUAGUUGUUGACCUGGAUGGAACAAUAACUCUAAGGCAUAAGUCUGAGAGAGUGCUCUGGUCGUUUGCAACCGGAUCACCAAUUUACUCAUCAUAUCAGGCUCCCAUUGCAGAAAAUGAUAAAGAAAAUGUUUCUGAUCUCACUACUGGAUUCUUCCUAGAUUUUUGGGAUGACUGGACGUUGUACGCCCAUGACAAGCACCAUGGUGCACUGAACCUCUCAAUGACUGCUGAGGAAUUUGUGAAAAUUACACCACACGUAUCACAUGAUGGAGUUAUACUUGGAUCUAAGACAACCACUGUCUUUGUGAUUGAUGGUAAGACUGGAACGCUGGUCCGAUCUUAUAAAUCACCUUAUUCUCCAUCCCAGUCACCAACUGAUACUGGUGCAAGUACUUUACUUAUCAACAAUCAUUAUGAUAAUGAGUUAGUAAGGCGUAGUUCUGGAAAUGCUGCUGCACUACCUCUAUAUAUAACAAGGACAGAUUACAAACUGGAAUAUUUUGGUCUAAACUCAAGCAAGCUUCUAUGGAAUCUAAAAAUUGCUCACUUUGGGGCUGCUUUACUUUGCCAAGAUAUUGAGAUGCCUCUAAGGGAAAAUAAUUUGAAUUCUAGCCAUGGGCCUGGUUCUGAAAUUAACAAUGAUUUUGACAUGCCAUUAUCAUGCCAAUCCAAAAUCGACAUCCGAAGGCAGCACAAGUCAAAACUAUCCACUAAGGUGCUCCCAAAGUCUUCAAAUGCAGUGCCUAUAUCACAGGCCUCCAUUGAUGGGUCAUUAAAUAACAAACAUGAAACCAAACUGCUUCUAGCGUUUGAUCCAGAUCUUCCUUCACAAUCCAAUACUGAGAAAGUAUCCAGUUUUGAUCAGAACAAUGGUGAUGUUUAUGGGAAAGUGGAUAUGCUUGCUGAGAGAAAGGCUUAUAAUGAUGAAUCAACUGUGUUUUUUAGCCCGCACCUAGCAUUAACAUUUAUUUUGUUUAUCUUCGUUCUUGUGGGCUUUGUCUUCUACUGCCGUAUUCAUGUUGCUAAAGAACAGGAUAUCUUGAAAGGAUGCCCUGGCAAUUCUAAUUUAAAUGCUGUAGCUUCCAAAAGGAAGAAAAGCCGGAAAUCAGGAAAGAAUAAUAGUGGUGUUGAGAAAAAAGACGAGGACAUAACAUCUGGUAAUUAUGAUGCAUUACCAUUUACGGAUAGUUAUAACAAUAAAUUGUUGGAUCUUAAUGAACUUGCUAAAGGCGGUGCUAAUGGACGGAAGAUUGGCAAGUUAUUUGUUUCAAAUACAGAAAUUGCUAAGGGAAGCAAUGGUACUAUUGUCCUAGAGGGUUUCUAUGAUGGACGAUCAGUUGCUGUGAAACGCCUUGUUCGAUCUCACUAUGAAGUUGCUUUCAAAGAAAUUCAGAAUCUCAUUGCAUCUGACCAGCAUCCAAAUAUUGUUCGAUGGUAUGGCGUGGAGUAUGAUCAAGAUUUUGUUUAUUUAUGCUUGGAGCGUUGUAUAUGUAGCUUGGGUGAUUUGGUCCCAAAUCACUCCGAUUCCUUAUACCCUGUCUCCAGUGAGAAUCAAGUAAUGAAGGCUAUAACCGGUUAUACGAUACGAUUGGAUUCAGUGAAGGGUAUUUUGCAGGAUAUUAAUCUCUGGAAAGCAAGUGGGCAUCCAACACCUUUAUUGUUAAAAUUGAUGAGGGAUGUGGUUUCUGGGAUUGCACAUUUGCAUGAAUUGGGAAUCAUUCAUCGAGACUUAAAGCCACAAAAUGUGUUGAUAAUUGAGGAGAAGUCUUUAUGUGCAAAGCUUUCAGAUAUGGGCAUUAGCAAACGCCUCCUUGGGGAUAUGUCUUCAUUGGGUCAUCUUGCUACUGGUUGUGGCAGUUCAGGUUGGCAAGCACCUGAACAGCUUCUUCGCGGUCGCCAAACUCGUGCAGUAGAUUUGUUUAGUCUAGGUUGUGUCCUCUUUUUCUGUAUCACUGGUGGCAAGCAUCCAUUUGGUGAUCAUCUUGAACGUGAUGUUAACAUCACAAAGAACCAAAAGGACCUUUUCCUAGUGGAGUAUGUUCCAGAAGCUUUAGAUCUCAUUUCUGGGUUAUUGAACCCUCAACCUGAACUCAGGCCAAAUGCAUCGGAAGUGUUACACCAUCCUCUUUUUUGGAAUUCUGAGAUGAGAUUGUCAUUUCUCCGUGAUGUUAGUGACAGAGUAGAACUAGAAGAUCGGGAGAAUGAGUCUGACCUCUUGAAAGCUUUAGAAAGUACUGCAACAACGGCUAUUGGUGGAAAAUGGGAUGACAAAGUUGAACUUGCAUUUAUUGUUGACAUGAGCCGCUACCGGCGCUAUAAGUUUCACAGUGUUCGAGACUUGUUGCGACUCAUGAGAAACAAGUUGAAUCACUAUAGAGAACUUCCCAAAGAAAUCCAGCAACUUGUAGGACCGGUACCUGAAGGUUUUGAUGGCUAUUUUACAAGUCGAUUCCCGGGACUCUUGAUUGAAGUCUACAAAGUUGUUUGCAGAUACUGCAGAGAGGAAGAAUGUUUUCAGAAGUAUUUUACGACCACUUUUGGUUGAGUCAUUUGUUAAGACAAUGCCGUUUAAAUUAUUUAGCCAUCAAACUGCAGUAGUUAUGGUUUCUCCACAUGCCUUCUCUUGUUGCGGUAGAUAACUUCACUUUUUCAUCAACAAAUGAAAGAAAUGUCUGAAUCCGCGCAGAUCGCAAGCUUUGACCAGAAGAAGAAACUAAUUCCUGUGGGUGACGCUGGUUGAACUUGCCUAUUAUUUGUAUGAAUUAAAUGAGGAGAACAAAAAGGCAAGCCAGAGCACAUGCCCAAAACUGACCCCCGAAGCUCUUUAGCUGAAGCUUAUCAUCCUCUAACUUUGUGCCUUGUAAACUGCAAGCAGUUCUCAACAGCCACUUUUCAUGCAUCCUCUGCAGAUCACCAUUUUCCUAAAGCUUCAGAAUUGCAGUUGACAUGUCGACUGCCAAAGGCGAGUCUCGUGGAAAUGCCCAACCAAGCAUGCAACAAAUCAUAUCUGCAUACGUAGGAGCAAAUAUUUCUAUAUACUUGCUCCUGUGAAGCAUGUGGAAGAUAGUAGAGAUACUUAAAAACACCCAACCAUUUUUAGUGAAUUCUUUGCCUACUAUGCUAACGCACAUAUGGCUGAGAGGAAAAGUUCUAUAAAAUAUUUGCACGCUCAUCGACCACUGCAUCAACACCGCCCUUGUUAGGACCAUCUUUCAAGGCUGGGAUGAGUCUUCGUUCAUGGUCUCUGGGUUCAUCUGUUAAAUAAUUCCAGGCAAAUGAACCUUGUGGAUACCCACUUCGAUCAUUGCUUGACAUUAAAGCUCUGAGGUCAAGCUUGCUAUUGAGCUCGAGUUGAUUAUCAGAACCACAAAUAGCCAUUAUCUGUGCCAACCUGCUGAUACUGCACAACUUCAAUUUACGCUGGUUUUCUGCUCAUAGGAUCAAAACCCAGAAAAAUUCAACUACUGCUACUUUGGGCGAAGAACAGAGUUGAAAAGCUAUACCUGAAUAACAUGCAAAAACCUUCUGAUAAGCUGCUGAAGAAUUGAGGAGAUGAGCUAGGAUAUAAGAAGGCAAUACUAUAAUCACUUACCAUAAAACAGUGGCAACUUGUCUUUUAGGAGGACCUCGGAAGUCAUUCUUCAUUCUAUGCUCCAAAAUCCAAACAACUACCUGACAAUGAGGAAAAAGCUAGCCGUGACAACACACAUGGAUAGAUGGAAUGGCCACCGAAACGCCCAAGCAUUAGAAUUUCACUUUAUUAACUGGUGCUACCACAAGCCCAGAGUCGAUGUAGGGCUGUGUGAAAUCCACCACCUUUGUUUGAUUUCUGAUGAUUGCAGUAUCACCUGCUGCCCCAUCAUACUCCUGUAUAUGGAAAUGGAAAUUAGAUAUUCUGAAGAGGUCAAGUGUCAGUAGACUAGAUGUUUUAUUUCAUGAUACUCACACCCGCCAUGAUCUGACUCACAGGUUCGGUGUUACUGUGAUUGUUAAGGCCAUCUUCUCGUGGAACAAACUUAUAUGGGACUGCAUAUGGCAAUAAGUUGAGAGCUGCUGUGAACACGUCAAUACAGUAGCCUGUGAUCAUUUCAUCACUUUUUGCAGAGAUGAAUUCACGAAAACUAACACAAUGUGGUACUCCAAUUCUCAAUUGAAGGUUAUCCAUGGUCGUAAAUAGAAGGGAUUGUAGCUAUAUUCUUCUUCCGGUUGAUAUACAGUGAAGCAAUGAACUUGGAAGAGGAGAAGAAAAGGAAUAAGCCUAUUCUAGUUGUGACAAUUGUCUGUGAAUUAAAAUCGAAGGCAGUCACCAGGGGCAGUAUGUGCCUUGUGAGGGAUUUUUGGUGGUGGUCCUGACAAUCCUGUGUUUUCCAGCAAAGGCCUAAGUGCACGCACAAGAGCCCUCCAAUCCAUCAUUAUCACGUUUUAUCUGUUGAUCUAACCCAGAAAUAUAUUAUGUUACGUAUAAUAUAAAAGGACUUCAGAGGGCGAUGGCACAUUAACACUUACAAAGUGGAUCAGUCAGUACCCAAUAGAAGUCCAGGGAAACUACACUUGAUGCGGAAGAUCUGGAUCAGGUACCUUUUGACUUAACCACAUUUACUUGGCUAAUAAUGCCGGGGAAACCUCUUUAGUGGUCGUCUGCUCAAAAAACAAGCACUAUACUUCGAACAAAAUUUUUGCAGUAGAGAAAUAUUAUAUUUUUGUAUAUGUAUAAUAAAGUUAAGUUAGUUCAGCUCAACUUCUUCAGUGUAAUGACCUGAAUAGGGAUCUCCAUACAUGACCCAUUCCUUGGAUCAUGUUUAGCUAUUGUUGACUUAGAAGAUUAAUUAAGGGUGGGUGAGUUCAGUCAUUGUCGUAUGAAGAUAAAUGGUGAUGAUAAUCGUGGAGCAGAAA